rnacentral:sRNA from 1 species
GCUUUCAACAUCCCCGUUCCGGUAAAGGCGUUGUCAGUUGCGGGAAACCGCAAAUGGCAGGCGCGUCCGGAGCUGAAAGC